AGAUAAAUGGCAUAGUGGUUUGAGUGUUAGACAAUGACUCUGGAGAUCAGGGUUCGAUUCCUUUUCGGCCA